UCGAACAGUAUGGCAAGCCUUAAUGUUUAUUCCGUACUAGUGGUUUUAUUCUUAACUUGCGGGGCAGUAAUGGCUACGAAGGAGAACGACCUAGAUUAUUAAGGAAAAUAAUUGUGAAACUAAAAUGGGUUUUCCCUGUGUUCUAGAAGCUUUCACGAGUAUUUUUGAGACAGGGAGUAUUUCUAACAAGUGUUGCGGCGAACUUGUUGUGUUGGGAAAAGUUUGCCACUCAGCAUUAGUAAAGAGGACUCUUGAAAAUCCUUUAUUCAAAUACGUAAGCCCAGAGACAAUUAUAGCGCAGAGCAUCCAGACAUGGAAUAAUUGCCUUGCAUUAAUCGAUUCACCAUCUCCGUCUGCUUAAGGAUAUAUGAUUGCUUAAGCUAACAAACGGUUACAAGACGUAACGGGGCCCAAAAUUGUUCUUUUGUCUUUAUUUUUGAUAUUGUUCCAAAAGCUUCAUUAAAAUGUGUCAUUAAAUUUAAGCCAUGUUAAAUUAUAUUGAGUUUUAAGAAAAUUAAAUGGUUCUAGAGAAGCCAUUACUUAAUACACUAUGAUUUUAGACAUGCCAUUAUUUUUACCGUUGUAGCAGUGGAACUCUAUAACCAUAUCAAAUCGAGCACUAGAUAUUGUUUCACAUAGUUUAAACUGACACAAAUAUCAUUAUUAUAAACAUUAAGUUCAGUUCAAUAAUGUGGAAUUGGAAUGUUCCAGCGUGGUGUGGCAUUGAAACAAUCUCGAUUCCUUAAAAGUCUUUAUACAAUAUAAAUUCGCAUUGGCUUUAAGGGAAGAAAAACCUCGACUUCUCGAAGUUGUGAAAAGACACAUAUCGUGCCAGGAAAUAUCCUCCAAGGGACAUGCACUAUAAUUUGUAAUUGUUCCUUGCCUAUGGACUCCUUUGUUUCAUUUUCGAUUUCCACUCCUGUGAUACUUAUCUAAUAGUUAUGACCUCUUUCUUCUCCGUAGAGAAGAGGCAAUCUUGAAAUCCUCGUCGAACGUGAUGUAUCGCUUCAAAGUCUUAACUUGGUUUCCAUAUUCUUCUGUCUUUAGAUUGCUUUCUUUUAUCAAGAUCGAGAAUGAAACUCCAAAUAUGUCGGCGGCAUACGUCCCACAUUCUCCCUAUUAAAAAAGGUUCAAUUUAUAUAAAAACAAAAUCCUAUCCAUUAUUUGGGCAAUACCUACGAGAGUUAUAGAAAUGUAACAUCAUUUGUUGUUUGCAAUUUAACUCUCUAAGAGAAUUUUUCAUUUUCCAAACUCCAUUACAUAUCCCACUAAAAGCUUCCAUUCAUAUUCCAGUAAAAUUGGGUCGGAAUGCUCACACCUAAAAGGUUAACGUACAACGAAGAAUAUAAAAACCGAAUUGGAGUCCCACGAUAAAGGCAAACAUCGUCUUAAUUUCAGAACGAGAAAUAUUUUUGAUGUAUUAAUUAAGGAUUUCAAUCAUUCAUUUGCCAUUUUCCAUUUUACAAAUAUGAUAAGUGCAAUAAAAGCUUUUUAACAACAACAAAGUUAUAAAAUUUUGCAAGUCGCAUAAUAAUUUCUAUAUUGUGCCACAUCCAUACCACUGGAAGAGGAAUCUCGUAUAGCUCAUUCAAUUUUGAGAAACACGUGAAUUUUUAACCAUCAACAUAACAAGUGCGCACACAACUUUAAAAAAUUAGAAAAAUAGGACGACACACAUAACGAUUAUGUGUGCCUAUAAUGCAAGUGUACUAUAUCCCGUAUUGCUUUUUCCAUAUGUUGUUUCCUCCAUAUUAUCGUCCAGGUGUUUGGUUUGGAGUGGACGUAAUAGUUCAAUCCCAGUUUCAACGGUGAAACACAUGUACGACAGAAUCAUCUUUAUUGAACCUUAUUUUCGUGAUCAGUUUAAUGCCAUUUAAGAAUUAUAAAGGCAAGUAUAAAUGUUCGUCUUUGAAUUAAUAUUUAGAUUUGUAGUAAUAAAAAUUAAUGCAAAUUAAACUGAAAUCUUGAAUGUUCUAAUUAAACUGAAAUAUUGAAUGUUAGAACGUAUUCUAGUCCAAUGUGGUUAUACCACUUCCUAUAAAUGCCAGUUUUUUCCCUGCAAAUCUUGUUCGAAAUUAAUUUUACGAACCAAAUUUAACUAGUAACAUCAUAUUCGAACAGUAUGGCAAGCCUUAAUGUUUAUUCCGUACUAGUGGUUUUAUUCUUAACUUGCGGGGCAGUAAUGGCUACGAAGGAGAACGACCAGAUUAUUAAGGAAAAUAAUUGUGAAACUAAAAUGGGUUUUCCCUGUGUUCUAGAAGCUUUCACGAGUAUUUUUGAGACAGGGAGUAUUUCUAACAAGUGUUGCGGCGAACUUGUUGUGUUGGGAAAAGUUUGCCACUCAGCAUUAGUAAAGAGGACUCUUGAAAAUCCUUUAUUCAAAUACGUAAGCCCAGAGACAAUUAUAGCGCAGAGCAUCCAGACAUGGAAUAAUUGCCUUGCAUUAAUCGAUUCACCAUCUCCGUCUGCUUAAGGAUAUAUGAUUGCUUAAGCUAACAAACGGUUACAAGACGUAACGGGGCCCAAAAUUGUUC
rnacentral:lncRNA from 1 species